rnacentral:rRNA from 1 species
AACAAACGCUGGCGGCGUGCCUAAUACAUGCAAGUCGAACGGGGAAAGUAGCAAUAUGAGUACUAGUGGCGCACGGGUGAGUAACGCGUGGAUAAUCUGCCUUGAAGAGGGGGAUAACUAGUCGAAAGAUUAGCUAAUACCGCAUAAGACCACAAGAACUGAGGUUCAAGGGGUCAAAGGUUUUUCGCUUCAAGAUGAGUCCGCGUAAGAUUAGCUAGUUGGUGAGGUAAUGGCUCACCAAGGCAACGAUCUUUAACUGGUCUGAGAGGAUGAUCAGUCACACUGGAACUGAGACACGGUCCAGACUCCUACGGGAGGCAGCAGUAGGGAAUAUUGCACAAUGGAGGAAACUCUGAUGCAGCGGCGCCGCGUGAGGGAUGAAGGCCUUCGGGUCGUAAAGCUCUGUCGCAGGGGAAUAACACAAUGAAUGUACCCUGUAAGAAAGAAUCGGCUAACUUCGUG